CACGUAGGAGGCAAGCGUUGUCCGGAAUUACUGGGCGUAAAGCGCGUGUAGGUGGUGGGACAAGUCUGCUGUGAAAGCGCCUGGCUUAACCGGGCGAGGUCGGCGGAAACUGUCCGACUCGAGGACGGUAGAGGGGGGUGGAAUUCCCGGUGUAGUGGUGAAAUGCGUAGAGAUCGGGAGGAACACCUGUGGCGAAGGCGGCCCCCUGGGCCGGGCCUGACACUGAGACGCGAAGGCGUGGGGAGCGAACGGG
rnacentral:rRNA from 1 species